rnacentral:snRNA from 1 species
GUGCUUACCUGGCAGGGGAGAUACCACGAUCACGAAGGUGGUUUUCCCAGGGCGAGGCUUAUCCGUUGCACUCCGGAUGUGCUGACCCCUGCGAUUUCCCAAAUGUGGGAAACCCGACUGCAUAAUUUGUGGUGUGGGGGACUGCGUUCAUGCUUUCCCCUG